AAUGAACGCUGGCGGCAUGCCUAAAACAUGCAAGUCGAACGCCCUAGCAAUAGGGAGUGGCGCACGGGGGAGUAACAUGUGGGAAUAUGCCUUUUGGUACGGAACAACGUUUGGAAACGAACGCUAAUACCGUAUGGUCCCUCCGGGGUAAAGAUUUAUCGCCAAAAGAUUAGCCCGCACUAGAUUAGCUAGUUGGUAAGGCAAUGGCUUACCAAGGCGACGAUCUAUAGCUGUUCCGAGAGGAAGAUCAGCCACACUGGGACUGAGACACGGCCCAGACUCCUACGGGAGGCAGCAGUGAGGAAUAUUGGACAAUGGGCGCAAGCCUGAUCCAGCCAUGCCGCGUGAGUGAUGAAGGCCUUCGGGUUGUAAAGCUCUUUAGCCGACGAAUAUAAUGACUGUAGUCGGAGAAUAAGCCCCGGCUAACUUCGUGCCAGCCGCCGCUGUAACAC
rnacentral:rRNA from 1 species